AGCACAGAAGACGAAGAGCUGGAAUAGAGCUCGCCUCGGCUCUGCUGGCCUUGGCUGCAGCUCUUCCAGAAACCCGGGGCGCCCACAGAAGAAUCUCUUACCUGGCUCUCUCUUCAGGGAUGACAUCAUCGGCUCACACCAGUCUUCCAGGACCACCUUCUGGAUGCCAAGGCUGCUGCUCGAGUACCUGCUGUGCACCUCUACCUCCUGGUACCCCAGCCACUCCCUCAAGUUGCCUGCAUGUUAUAUGGCCUAGCCAAGGAGCACGGAUUCCAGGAACCCACUACCAUACAGAGCAACUCCUUGUGGACCCCCCUGGGAUCAGGACAGCGAGGGACAAGCGACAAAGAGGAUCAUCAGUGGCCAGCUAGUUUCUCUGGGGUUCAAACCUUGAACCAGUGCCCUAGUGAGGGGGCACUGGCCAUGGCCCUUGACCUUUGCUCUGCUUGUGUCUUGAGUCUGAGCCCUUUCCUGUACAUCUGUGCUCGUGUUCAUCUGCUAGUGAACUGGAGUGCUGCCCUCCCCGAGGAGGGUCGUCCCUUGUGACUGAUCAUGCUGUCCUAACAAUGUCCUGAGCAAAAGGGUCCCUUUGGGAACCUCUCAGGAGGGGGACCCGGGUCAGGGGCGACCAGCAUCUUGCUGGCAACUCCGUGGGUGGGGUGGGGUGGGGUGCUUCCUUCUGGAAUGAGCACGUGGCUGACCCCCCAAGGCAUGUCCCCUCCCCCUCCUCCACCCACCUUCUCGGAGAUGUCCCUUUUGGGGUAGUGGGGACAUUAGGAGCAACCUCCUAGGGUUGUUGUGAGAAUUAAAUGAACUGCAGCAGCCUGAGGCAGGGCUGGGCAGAGACCUCAGCACAUGUUUGUUGAAAGGUUUGCAGGUGGAUCUAGUCCUCCCGUUCAUGGCUCAUGUGUCUCAACCAUUCUCUCGCAGACUCCUGCAGCCCCUAUGCCCAGGGCUCUCCUUGCGCCAGAGGUAGGUGGGAAAGAGAACUGGGAGAGCCCGGACUCACUCAUGAGAUUGAACUUAAAUUCACACGGAGGACACUUGGACUCUUGCCACAUUAGCCCCGGCUUCUCGAGGCCUGUCUACACUCGCUGCUUUCCUUCCUCACCUCCAAUUUCCCCUCCAACCCACUGCUUCCUGACUCGCUCUUCUCCAUCGAACGGCUCUCGCUCAGGUUUAAGGCUUGGCUUGCUGGCCCUGGAGAUCCCGUCGCCGUCUUCGUCGAACUCGAAAUCCUAGCCAUCGUCCUUCCCUGGCCUGUCGCGUCUUCCUGUGCCAUUUGCUGUUGUGCUCAGGUUCCACGAGCUGCCCAUCUCCACAGAAGAGCAGCUGGCAUUGCCCACCGGCCAUGCCGGCUGAAGAAAAGAAGACUGAGGACCCCAGGAUGCCCAGCGCGAGGACCCCAGGAAGCCCAGCGCGAGGACUCCACCCACGACGCCCAGCGCGAGGACUUCACGCACAACACGUUGCAACCCUCCUGGAUUAGGCCAAAGCCAUCAUCUGGAAUCCUGCGUGGGACCCUGGACACACGGACACAGACACCUGCCCCCAGGACCCUCCAACUGUAAAUCCCUCUACAGCCACGGGGACGCCUUGCACAUUUCCUGUGGGACAUGCUGGACCCAAGACUCUGGACCCUGGCCUCCCCUUGAGUAGAGAGACCCACCUACUGACUGAUGAACUGCGCUGACCCUGGGGUCAGGCAUGUGGCCUUGAUCCCUACCCAUGGACCCUGAGACUUGGGGGGGUGGGAGAAAGGCUGUUGUGUCUUCACUGUUGAGUCUACAUCUGUGAAAUGGGCUCAGGUUCCUACCUCACAGGGCUGUUGUGAGGCAGCCGCAAUGUGCUUAGAAGCAUGGGGCCUAGUGGCUCAUGGUGCUUUCAAUAAAUUUCUUGUUUUAACUAAAGCA
rnacentral:lncRNA from 1 species